GUUUGGGCUUGGGCAGCUGGACCCACAGCCUGACUCCAGCCCAGUGCCUGUCCCUUGCUUUGGUCAGGCCUUGGCCUCCAGCAGGAAUAACCUCCCCCUCAAUUCCCCAGUCCAAUGGUUUUGGGGGGCUGCCAACCAGCUCCUCCUUACCCUACUGUGCCCCCUCCUACUAUGCUGGGGCACCUCCCCUCCUACCGUGGGCAGGCCUGGGAGACUGUCCUUGAAGCAUUCCUAAUGCUGACUGGGGUGGCAGGGUCUGGCUAGGUGAUUGGCUGCCCCCUCAUUAGCGGCCUGCUGGGGUUUCCGUCACUUAGGGCUGGUUUCCAGGCAACCACGUCCAAGGAGGGCUCAGCUCUGGCUCCUGGCUGACACAGCAGCGGCUGCUGCUGCCCAGCAGGGAGGUGAGCUGUCCAAUGGCCAGGGUCAUGGUCAUGGUCAGGAAGCCUCUCCUCCUGCUCCUGGGAGGAGUGAGUGUGAUGCCUCAGAAACCCCCUGUCACCUCUCAGCUUAGGCUCACAGCCCUGCCCCAGAAAAGGAGUCUCUGGGGCCCUCAACACAACACCCACACUUAAAGCCCUCAUGUUUCCUGGAGGUUGAGGGGAGGCUGAGCAGGAGCAGAGAGGGGCACUUCUUUUUGGUACCUGAUAUUGAACCCAGAGGUGCUCAAUCACUGAGCCCCAGCCCCAGCCCCUUUUAUUUUCUAUUUUGAGACAGGGUCUCCCUAAGUUGCUUAGGGCCUCACUAAGUUCCUGAGGCUGGCCUCAAGCUUGCAAUCCUCCUGCUUCAGCCUCCCAAGUCAUGGGGAUUAUAGGUGUGUGCCAUCAUGCCCUGUGAGAGGAGCACUUUUGCCCCUUUUGGAUCUGGGGGAAUAACCCUAUGGCUUUCCAGACCCUGUGGCCUGAGGUGGGGGACACAAGGAAUCAGAUUUUACAGCAUACAGGGCUUGGGCUUUGAGUCUAAAUCCUCUGCCUAACAGUUGUGUGAUCUUGGAGUUGUUGAUGGCCUCUCCUGACCUCCGGCCUCUGUUACUUCACUGAUAGAAAGUUGAUAAGCCCUGUCUUAGAGGGCAGUGUGCAGGGUAUGAAGGUGCCUGGCACCCAGCCCUCUCCAUACCUGUGUAUUCCCUUCUUCCAAGCCGGCUGUGCGCUCAGUCCCAAGCUCCCCACAUUGCAAGGGGACAGCACUGUGCAUCCUAGACAGCCACAGCCCACACGUGGGUCACCCACCAUAGCUGGGUCAUCCGGGAAUGUGUUGUCUUCAUAUCCAAGAAUAGCCCUGAGCCCCUACCCUGUCCCUUGCUCCCCCCUCCCUCAUGACUUGUUUUUUUAAUUUAACAAACACACAUAUAGCCUUUGUACCUGGCAUGAUUUUAAAUGCUUUUCAAAUAUUAACUCAUUUGAUUUAUUUAAUCCAUUUAAUGGAUUAAGUCACCUAAUCCAUUUAUUUUAUUAAUCCAUUUACUGGAUUAAGUGAGGUAAGGCCAAGGUGGAUGCAGAGCGCUGUGGGACACAGGCCCCGCCACAUCUCCCUCCCGCGCUGGGGCACUUGAGCUGGGUCCCUGGGUUGCACCCAGACAUGCUUCCUGCUGCAGGUAGCUGGGCUGGGAUAGCCACUGGCAGGUCAGAGUUUCAGGAAGAGCAGUGAUGACUAAUUAAAACUUCAGCUCAGGGAGACCCUCUUGGGGCAGAGAUUGCCUCAGUCGACUUCCUUGGGAGAGUCUCCUAAUUGGACCCCUGAGCCCUAGUAAUGAUGCAAACUCACCCGGUAUAUGAUCACAGGCAGGGAGGGAGGGGAAAGGGGGAAGGAAACAGGUUGGCAAAAAAAUAAUAACAAGCCUCCCUCUCAUUGUAAGAGGUAGUGACUUUGGAGUCCCUAAAGUGUCACUUGGGAGCUGUGCAACUUUGGAUGAACUGCUUGCCUCUCUGAGCUUUUGUUUCCUCACUGAAAAGUGGGGAUGAUAAAACAUCCAUUCCUGGAGAGUUGCUGUGAGAAGACUAGCAUGGAAAGUACCUAGCACAAUGCCUGACCCAGAAAUCGGGGUGCAUAAAAUUGGA
rnacentral:lncRNA from 1 species